rnacentral:misc_RNA from 1 species
ACAUUGACAAUAUUUGUCAGCAUGGCAAGUGGAUCAUCAUCAAGUAAACAGAAACCGAGUUCUGGAGAACAUUUUGAGAAACUAGGACUGAACGAAUGGCUAUGGACACAGUGUCAUAAUAUGGGCCUUCGUCAGCCCACUCCUAUUCAAGUCAAUUGUAUCCCGCCAAUUUUAGAAGGAAAAGACUGCAUCGGAUGUGCUAAGACAGGGAGUGGUAAGACUGCAGCGUUUGCCUUGCCCAUUCUGCAGAAACUCUCGGAGGACCCCUUUGGCAUAUUUGCUCUGGUUCUAACUCCUACAAGAGAACUGGCCUUUCAGAUUGCAGAGCAGUUUAAUGUUCUUGGUAAACCAAUAAAUGUGAGAGUCACUGUAAUUACAGGGGGAUUAGAUAUGAUGCAGCAGGGCAUUGAUCUUCAAGUAAAACCCCACAUUGUAAUCUCAACCCCUGGACGACUCGCUGAUCAUUUGCAGAGUUGCGAUACGUUCAGCUUACGUAAAAUCAAGUUUCUUGUUUUGGAUGAAGCGGAUCGUCUGAUCGAGGAUGACUUUGGCGAGCAGCUGGAGACCAUAUUUAAGGUCCUCCCUAAGAAACGACAGACGCUGCUGUUCAGUGCUACAAUGACAAAGCACCUAAAGGAUUUACAAGAUGUUGCCAUGAAUAAACCUUUCUUCUGGCAGCAAAAGUCUGAGGUUGCAACUGUUGAGGGAUUAAAGCAGUAUUAUGUUCUGAUGCCAGCGGAUAUAAAGGAUGCAUACCUUAUGCAGAUUCUAGACAAAUAUACAGAAAUAAACAAGAAAAGUUCUAUAAUGAUCUUCACCAAUACAUGCAAGUACACACAGAUCUUAGGGAUGGUUUGCACACAGCUAGGACUCCCAUGUGUUGUGCUACACUCCAUGAUUCGUCAGAAGGAGAGGUUAGCAGCUUUAGCCAAAUUUAAAUCCAACCAAAUCAACAUCCUGAUAGCAACUGACGUAGCCAGCAGAGGUUUAGGACAUUCCCACAGUAGACUUAAUUAUCAACCACAAUGUUCCCAACAAACCCAAGGACUACGUGCACAGAGUGGGACGAACAGCCAGAGCUGGUCGCUGUGGAACUGCUAUAACUUUGGUUACUCAGUUUGAUGUUCGCCUCGUACAUGCCAUUGAGGAGUUUGUUAAUUCCAAGAUGGAAGAAUAUGACACAAAAGAAAAAGAUGUAAUGAAAAUACUGGUUGAAGUAGCAACUGCUAAAAGAGAGGCAGAAAUUGUAAGUAGUAUUUGUGUGCAAGAAAUGGGAUUAAUAUAGGGAUUCUUUGACUUUGGAGGAAAGGGGAUUUUUUCUGGUCCUUGAAGGUAUGUGCCUCUUUAAUGUAAAUUUUAUGAAACUUUACGAUAGUAAAUGAUUUUUGAUUUAUUUUUGCAGAGACUUGAUGAACGUGACUUCGGAGUCCAGAAAGAGAUCAACAAGAGGAAGAAAUUGUUGAUGGAAGGAAAGGACCCCGACGAGGAAGCCAGAAAGAAACAGAAAUAUAUCAGAGAGAAAAAUCAGGAAAAGAAAAACAAAAGGACACAAAAACCCAAAUCUAAAACCUGAUGCCCUCGUAAGAAGGCUUCAGUGACCAGUGCAAUAUCAGCUCCCCGAAUUCUUGGGAACUAUGAACUCAUCUCAUUCUGUUGAAUUGUUCAGCUCACAGUGACUGGCGAUUUCUUGAGAAAAAAUAUGAGUAUAAGUACACAGUGCAGAUCCAUACGAUGUGUGACUGUAUGGCAAAUUUUAAAAAAGUUCCACAGCAUUAUCUACCUGUAAGUUACCAGGGAUCUGUCUAAAUGAACAGAAACCAUUGAGAAGAAUAUUAAGAAUAUUAAAAUAAUUUUUGCAUUAAGUUAAUUUAUUAUCAAGUUUGUAAUCAAUGUAAAUGAGGAUACAGUAAAACACGCUUUUAACAAAGUGCCAGGGAUGGGCAAUUUUUCUUUGUUUAUAAACUUACAGUAAUUGGUUAUAUCCGUUAGCUUCACUGUCAAUAUGUUUAAAUCCCAAGGGAAAUAAAAACCACUUCACUUUAAGCGUCAAUGUGUUAUAAGCAUGUUCACUAUAAGCGUGUUUUACUGUAUAUUGAAUACAUCAGUUACAUGGUUUACAUGUAUUGUAUUUAUCUAUUGGGAGGAACAAGAUGGUUUUUAUUAUUGAUGUGCUUUUGUAUGCAAAAAAUAUAAUUUGUUGUUUACUUUUUUCUUGUUCAAGAAUCUUUCCCCAAAUAAAAAUGUGAAUUGC